GACAGAGGUGCCGAGCGUUAGGCGGAAUCACUGGGCUUAAAGCGUGUGUAGGCGGAUCGUUAAGUGCCUUGUGAAAUCCCACGGCUCAACCGUGGAACUGCUUGGCAUACUGGCGAUCUUGAGCCACUUAGGGGCUACCGGAACAAAUGGUGGAGCGGUGAAAUGCGUAGAUAUCAUUUGGAACGUCAAUGGUGAAAACAGGUAGCUGGGAGUGUGCUGACGCUGAGACACGAAAGCCAGGGGAGCAAACGGG
rnacentral:rRNA from 1 species